GUCUGACUGGCACACACUCACACACUCACGUGGAGGUCAGCAAGAAACAAUAUAGAUUUAGGGGGAUGUCUGAGUGUGUGGUAAACACGUGCAGAAGGUGUGGGCUGUGAAUGUCCCAAUGACAGUGCUGGAGGAGUCACUGAGAAACACUCGCCAUGAUCUUGGCACAGAGAGCGUUGGGCCUGUGCAAAACACAUCCAGGAGAUCACCUUAAAAGGAGGGGGACUCUUCACUGUUAUCAGAAGCCAGAGGAGCUGCUUCUAUCCCAGCUGGUUCCGCCUCAUCCUACAGCCUUCCUCUGUUUUCUUUGACUAGUCACCUACUUGUAUGUGAUUUCAUUGUCUACAAUGGGUGUGCGGGAUUUCUUUGUUUGAUUCCUGUGGCCACCAACAUGUAAAAUACAUGCCCACAUGACUGCACAUCUCUUUGGAUAAAAGCCUCUGUUAAAUGGUAUAUACCAUCAUUGUGUCAUUUUUCACAGACAAGAAAUUACUUUAGACAUAUUGAAUAUUUUAUUGCUGCUCAAAGUUAUAUAUCCAGUGAAGUGGAAGCUGACAAGACAACCCAGUGACUCAGGCAAGAGGCUAUGUCUAGUAGAGUGAUGGCGAAAUAGAAAAUUAUGUUUUUUCAAAAAAAGUUAAAUGUCUUGUGUAGCACUUGACUGCUGUCAAUAACGUAAGUCACUCUGGAUGAGAACGCCUGUUGACUUAAACGUAAAUGUUAAAAAAGCUUGUUAAAAAGGUGCAUGCAUCCUGUUAAAUAAAAGCCAUACACCUUUAUUGAUUGUAACAGUAAGAACCAAAACACAAGUUGAUCAGGAGAGCACACUUUUUCCAUGACUUGUGUCCUUUUGAUCUCAUCCUAAUUUUAGGAUACUGUGUCACUUGUGUCACUGUGUCACUUCCUGGCACUGCAGGUUGCCGUGCCAAUAAGAUCCAAUGCCGUCUCUCCCUCAUUUAGAGCACAAACACCUGUUUGUUGUUAUUGCCCUCACCUGUGUUCCUGAUCACUGUCCCUAUUUAAAAAAAGGACAGUCCAUUUAGAAUUUCUUCCUUUCACAGUGGCUCAGGUCAGUCUUUGUUUGAUUUCUACACCAAUGUGAUGUUGUGGUGUUUUUGUGUGUUUAUUUCAGUUUUGUUUUUAUUAAAUGUUCUUUUUAUUAAAUGUUCUCAUUUCUUCCUGCCUCAACUCUUCAAUGUUACACACUGGGUUUAGAAAAUGUUUGAUAAAAUGGUGUGUUCUGUGCCAGAACAUUUAAGCAGUAACAUGUAUACAU